UUAUUUACACGUCUUUAAUCCAAGUGUUUAAUACAUUUUAAAUUAAGUUAAGAACAGAGAUUACAAAAAGGUAAUAUAUCAUUUUUAUAUCAUGUUAUGUUUACUGCUGCAAACCAAUUGCCUUGCACAGUUCUUGAACUCAAGUACCAAUUUUGAAUUAAAUUAUUAUCCACCAACUGGACAGAAAAUAAGCUUUUCUUGUUAUUUCAAGUGUCCAACAAUGUGGCUAUUUAGUCAUGAGGAAUAACAUUCGACCGCUGUCAUUAUACCAUUUGAGUUGUGUUUCACUUUCUUAACAUAAAUGAGUACUGCGACACGUUUCUUGUUCAUUAUGAUAUUCAAUCGGCAAUAUUGAUAGGAUAGGAAAUCUUUAUAUUCUUGGAGAAAGGGCAAAUUAAGAGAAGGCCCUACGUCUAAGAAAAAAACAAAACACUUGACACACGGACUGAUCAUCAUCCUUUGUAAGAAAUUUGUCAUGUAAACUUCCUACUCCGCAAUAUCUAGGUCAUUUAUUUAUAGAAUGGUAUUCUUAUUGACCAAUUAAUAAUUAAUAAGUGACUUCCUUUCGACGAAGAAUGGUACUUGAGUUGUAUAUAAAACGGGAGAAAAUAACAUAUCGCAUAUACUUCUAGUCAAACUGGAUUGCAAAGCUAAUAUUUAUAACUGAUUCCUAACGAUGAUGCGUUACCUGAUGUGCAUGUUAGUCCUAACGUUGCUGCUAAGUCAAGUGGCCGACGUGAAUUCAGCCGGGCUAUGUGGGAGGCGACGUUGUCCACCGGGUUACCGUUGUGUUCGCUAUGGCAGCGUAUUCAGGUGUCAUGGUGGGCAAACGUUCAUGCAUCCGGGAAAUACGGGAAAUACGGACGAUGCUGUGAAGUAAUUAACGGUGUGCGUUUCCAAAAAAAUGGAGUUUCUAUCCGAUGACCCUUAUAUCGGUUAUGAUAAUUACAAAACUUGGUUUCGACAUCUAAGAAAUAUGUUGUUAUUUAUAUUAUAUUCAUAUGUUUAUUUAGAUUUUGUGUGUGAACAGUUUUCAAUAGGAAGAUAUCUAGACAUUAUAAAGAAUGAGAACUGAUUUAUGAUGUAGACUAUUAUCUUGACCAUUUUAUUAUAUAUUACACAAUAGCCGAUCAUAUUGUUACAUGCAUAUGUAAUACACUUUGGUGGAGCAAGAUAUUUAUCACAGAGUAAAGUUAUUUAAUUAUUGACCAAA